ACCCGCUGAACUUAAGCAUAUCAAUAAGCGGAGGAAAAGAAACUAACAAGGAUUCCCCUAGUAACUGCGAGUGAAGCGGGAAAAGCUCAAAUUUAAAAUCUGGCGGUACUUGCGACCGUCCGAGUUGUAAUCUAGAGAAGUGUUAUCCGUGCUGGACCGUGUACAAGUCUCUUGGAAUAGAGCGUCAUAGAGGGUGAGAAUCCCGUCUUUGCCACGGACUGCCAGUGCAUUGUGAUGCGCUCUCAACGAGUCGAGUUGUUUGGGAAUGCAGCUCAAAACGGGUGGUAAACUCCAUCUAAAGCUAAAUAUUGGCGAGAGACCGAUAGCGAACAAGUACCGUGAGGGAAAGAUGAAAAGAACUUUGGAAAGAGAGUUAAACAGUACGUGAAAUUGUUGAAAGGGAAACGCUUGAAGUCAGUCGCGUUCGCUGGGGAUCAACCUUCUCUCGAGUUGGUGCACUUCCCAGUUGACGGGUCAGCAUCGAUUUCGAUUGUCGGAUAAAAGUGGGAGGAAUGUGGCAUCUCCGGAUGUGUUAUAGCCUCUCGUUGCAUACGACAGUUGGGAUCGAGGAACUCAGCACGCCGCAAGGCUGGGGAUUCGUCCCACAUAACGUGCUUAGGAUGCUGGCAUAAUGGCUUU
rnacentral:rRNA from 1 species